AUUGAACGCUGGCGGCAUGCCUUACACAUGCAAGUCGAACGCGCCAUUGGGGCAACCUGAUGGUGAGUGGCGAACGGGUGAGUAAAGCAUCGGAACGUACCCAGUAAUGGGGGAUAACUAUCCGAAAGGAUAGCUAAUACCGCAUACGCCCUGAGGGGGAAAGCGGGGGAUCGUAAGACCUCGCGUUAUUGGAGCGGCCGAUGUCGGAUUAGCUAGUUGGUGAGGUAAGGGCUCACCAAGGCGACGAUCCGUAGCUGGUCUGAGAGGAUGAUCAGCCACACUGGAACUGAGACACGGUCCAGACUCCUACGGGAGGCAGCAGUGGGGAACUUUGGACAAUGGGGGCAACCCUGAUCCAGCCAUUCCGCGUGAGUGAAGAAGGCCUUCGGGUUGUAAAGCUCUUUCGGCAGGAACGAAACGGUCUUUUCUAAUACAAGAGGCUAAUGACGGUACCUGAAGAAGAAGCACCGGCUAACUACGUGCCAGCCGCCGCCGUAAAAC
rnacentral:rRNA from 1 species